UACGUAGGGGGCUAGCGUUGUCCGGAAUCAUUGGGCGUAAAGGGCGCGUAGGUGGUUCUGUAUGUCUACCGUGAAAGCGUACGGCUCAACCGUAUUUUGUCGGUAGAAACUGCAGGACUUGAGGCUGGGAGGGGCUGGUGGAAUUCCCUGUGUAGCGGUGAAAUGCGUAGAGAUGGGGGGAGAACACUCGUGGGCGAAGGCGGCCAGCUAGACCAGUUCUGACACUGAGGCGCGACAGCGUGGGGGAGCAAAACAGG
rnacentral:rRNA from 1 species